GUCUUUUAGAAAUAAAUUUAAAGUCUGACCUGCCCACUGAUAAUUUAAAGGCCGCAGUACACUAACUGUGCAAAGGUAGCAUAAUAAUUAGUCUUUUAAUUGAAGGCUGGAAUGAAUGGUUGGACGAAAUAUUAACUGUUUCAUUGGAAUUUAGAAUAGAACUUUAUUUUUUAGUAAAAAAGCUAAAAUACAAUUAAAAGACGAGAAGACCCUAUAAAGCUUUAUAUUUUCAGUAAUAUGUAAAGAAUGAUAAAUAUAUACUUAUUAUAAAAAAAUAUUUUAUUGGGGUGAUAUUAAAAUUUAACAAACUUUUAAUUUUUAAAACCAGUAGUUUCUGAGUAAAUGAUCCGUUUUUUAUGAUUAUAAAUUUAAGUUACUUUAGGGAUAACAGCGUAAUUUUUUUGGAGAGUUCAUAUCGAUAAAAAAGAUUGCGACCUCGAUGUUGGAUUAAGAAAUAUUUUUAGGCGCAGCCGUUUAAAUGAUAAGUCUGUUCGACUUUUAAUUUC
rnacentral:rRNA from 1 species